AACACAUGCAAGUCGAGGGGUAACGAGGAGGAAGCUUGCUUUCUCCGUCGACGACCGGCGCACGGGUGAGUAACGCGUAUCCAACCUACCAUCAGCUAAGGAAUAGCCCGUCGAAAGGCGGAUUAAUGCCUUAUGUCGUUUCGCGAUGACAUCAGAAAGAGACGAAAGAUUUAUCGGCUGUCGAUGGGGAUGCGUCUGAUUAGAUUGUUGGCGGGGCAACGGCCCACCAAGUCAUCGAUCAGUAGGGGUUCUGAGAGGAAGGUCCCCCACAUUGGAACUGAGACACGGUCCAAACUCCUACGGGAGGCAGCAGUGAGGAAUAUUGGUCAAUGGGCGAGAGCCUGAACCAGCCAAGUAGCGUGCAGGAUGACGGCCCUAUGGGUUGUAAACUGCUUUUACACGGGGAUAAAGUGUGCGACGUGUCGUUCAUUGCAGGUACCGUGCGAAUAAGGACCGGCUAAUUCCGUGCCAGCAGCCGCGGUAAUACGGAAGGUCCGGGCGUUAUCCGGAUUUAUUGGGUUUAAAGGGAGCGUAGGCCGUCUGUUAAGCGUGUUGUGAAAUGUAGAUGCUCAACAUCUGAAUUGCAGCGCGAACUGACCGACUUGAGUGCGCAGGAAGUAGGCGGAAUUCGUGGUGUAGCGGUGAAAUGCUUAGAUAU
rnacentral:rRNA from 1 species